rnacentral:tRNA from 1 species
GCCCCUUUAGCUCAGUUGGUUAGAGCAGCUGACUCUUAAUCAGCGUGUCCAGGGUUCGAGUCCCUGAGGGGGGCACCC